rnacentral:lncRNA from 1 species
GUCCAGGCUGCCUGUUGGCUGGCUUGGGAGCUGAUUAUGUGCCCACCUGCUGGUAAUCCUUGUACAAUAAUGAAUUGUUUUUGUCAGAUUCUCCAUCCUGACACAUCCCAUUAUCUCAUCCUAAGACUCUUAUACAUGGAGCAGUAAAAAUAAUAGUUGUUAUCAUCUCUAGAAAUGAAUAGUGAAUCUCUAAUAUCAAUUCUCCACACAGAACUAGCAUGUUGCAGAUAUUGUAUUUCCUUUCUUCUUCCCUCCCUGCAACUUAGAUUCAGAAUCACCAUGGAAACACAUCUCUGGGCAUGUGCAUGAGGACAAAUGAGUCCAGAAAAGUUUAAUCUAGCAGGGCAGACCUACUAUGAAUGUGGGUACCACCGUCUGCUAGGCUAGAGUGCAAGAAUAAGAAGGGGAAAACAAAGUGAGAACGUGACCUUCUUUCUCUGCUUCCUGAAGCAGUGACCAGUUGUCCUCCACUCCAGCCACCAUGCCUUCCCUGCCAUGAUGGAGAAGCCUCCUUAAGCUGAGAAAAAAAAAAAAAACCCUUCUUUAAGUUAUCUUGUCAAGUAUUUUGUUCCUGUAAUGACAGAAGUAACUAAUGCAGGAUUGUUUAUUUAUAUCAGUAGAGUAGAUAGAAUGUUAAGGAGUUGGUUAAAACAUAUUAAAAAUUAAAAUUUUACCUCAGGAACUGUAGAAAUAUAUGUAAACUUUCUCUAAAGUUUGGAUCUAGUUUAUUGGCUUACUGAUUGAGACUGGAUCCCUUCUGUUCUAGUUAUUUUUUUUUCCUAUUGUUGAGAGGAGACAGCGUUACCAAGGCAACUUCUAAGAGAAAGCAUUUAAUUGGGGGCUUGCUUACAGUUUCAGAGAGAGAGAGUUCGUGUCUAAAACUUGGCAGGCAACAUAGCAGCAGGCAGGCAGGCAUGGCACUGAGGCUAAACACUUCCAUCCUGAUCCAUAAGCAGGAGGCAGAGAGAGAAACUGGACAUGGCAAGGACUUUUUAAAUUCAAACCCCACCCCCAGUGGCAUGCUUCCUCUAAUAAGGACACACCUUCUAAUCCUGCCUAAACACUUUCACAAACUGAGAACCAGGCAUUCAGUGAUCUGAGCCUGGGGGGGGGGGGCAUUCUUAUUCAACCACCUCACCCUCUCCAUUCUAUAAGCACUUAAUUCAAAAAACUUUGUGCUUCAACACUAGACCAAAUAAUUUUUAUAUUUAGAAAAUUAGUCAUUUCUCAAAUGGCUGCUUUCCUCCACAGCCCUUCCGAAUGAGAUCUAUAGCCCUAGGAACUUUGAGCACCGGAAUCCAUCCUCGUCUCUCUGGGAAGAAUGUGUGGCUUGGCUAAAUAAGCAGGCACAUACUGAUCCCCCAAAGAAUCAAGAGGAAUGUAUCACAUUUAAAUAUGGAGAGCGAUUAACUGAUUCCUGAGUGAGCCCUUGUUCCUCUUCGGGUAUAUUUUAUAAUAAGCCAAGGAACCUUAAGCUUCAGGGUCGCUCCCUGAAAGCACGGGGACCAUUGGCUGCAUCCUUGGAGGCACACCUGUCUAUUUCCUUGGGGAAGUUAAACACAUAAAAAAUUUCAGUCUAGGAAAAAUCCUGCUAUAGGAAUGCUCCUGUUCAGCAGCCAUACAAGUGGAAUCUCUAGGCUGUGGGGAGGAUACAGGGUAGGCAGCACCCCAGUCAAGACAGGGCCCCUCAACCGGAGGCAUAGAUGGCCUUGGGUGAAGACUGGAGGGCUUUUAAGGCCCACUCAGUGGUGAAACCUUGGCCUCCUGGAGACUGUUGAAUAAAACGAGAAGAUGAUGAUGGUGGACAUGAGGCUUGGGUACCUCCAGGAUGCUCGUUCUGUUCUUAAAGCACAUGACUGAGGUGUGCCGUUGACUUUAGGGUUUGUUUUCCACACUUUCCCCUGCGUGUCCUAUGAGUCACAAGGAUAAGACUCCAGUUUAGGGUAACAAAUCUUAACAAGGUUUUUGUUCACAAAGGCCAAUUCUGUUGCCUUCGAGCAUGUCCAUCUUUCCCUCCCUGCUGACCUUCACAGACAGGAAUCCAGAUGAACAUUCAGAGGACAUUGCUGUUGGAUAGAGUUUAAGUAAAAUGCUUUUUGCUGCCAAAGACAAGAGUUGCUGAAUAUUUUUGAUGGGUUGACAUCUUUUCUUCUAUAAUCUUUGGCAAGGAAAUUUUAUAAAAGGAGAUUAUGGAAAAAAACACAAAUACUAUAUAAACAGUAGGAAUUUAUACAGUAUAUUUGUAACUUCAAUACUCACAUAGCAUAUAUCAAAUAUACUCAUAAUCUCUAUGGAUCCUGUAUUAUUUAUAUUGCAUUAUGUUAGACUAUAAACUAUAUUAUAUAAUACAUAUUUUCUUCAUUUUCUUUUUUUUUAAUUAGGUAUUUGUUUCAUUUACAUUUCCAUUAUUCAUUUUCUUAAAGGUAUCCAGUAACUAACAAGUUAUAUCUAGAAAAAUAAAGUCCAUUUUAUAUUCUAUAUAUUCUAUAUAUUGUAUAUUCUAUAUAUUCUAUAUUCUAUAUAUUCUAUAUCUCUAAUGAUGGAGCUUGAGGUAGGGUCUCACUGUGUAGCCUAGGCUGGCUUUAAGCCGGUGGUGAUCUUCUUCUUCCAGUCUUCUGACUGAGCCAGGUAUGGUGGGGAUGCAUGGCUGGUGGCUUAUGCAUGGGUGCUAGGAUAACAGGUAUGAGCCACUACUCAUUUUCCAUGAUUGUUAGCACUCUAGUGGGCAGUGUCAACCCGGGAGAAUGGGGCCUAAAAAUGAGGUGGAUUAAAAUCUCAUGUAGUAGCCAACAUCAGGCAAUUAAUGGCCUGAUGGUGAAGAAUCACAUGAAUGAGAUGUUCAAUCACAAGGACAGGCCACAUAUGGUGAAACCAUGUUUCCAUAGAAAGGCACAUGAGUAACAGCUGAAGUAAACUCACUCCUCCCACCACACCUGGGAGGAAAAUGAAAACAUAGUCCAAGAGUCAUUUUGUGCUUUGAAGAAACUGAGAUCACAAGACUCUUGUUUUCUUGGAGUGUUUUCUCAAUUUCAAUCCUCAGAAUUCUCACAUGACUCCAGUUUUUGGACUGUUCUGACACAUGACUUUUCAAAAAGUUCUGUAGGUGUUGGGGAGAUAGCUAAGUCAGCAAAUCACUUGCUAUACAAGGACAAGAAUAUGACUUUAAUCCCCAGAACCCAGAGGGAAAAGACUAGGUAUGGUGGUACAUGCAUGCAAUCCCAUUGCUUUGGAGGCAGAGACAGGCCCAGUCCACUGACCAAUACAACACACACACACACACACACACACACACACACACACACACACACCAAAAAAUUAGAGUGGUAUAAAUUUACUUACUAAAAAAUGACAGGGUUUUACUUAGAAACAGAGAUUAGAACAUAGAAGCUGAGAUGACCUAGACAUCAAUUCUUUCCAAUAUCUAGAGACUGAGUAUUAAAACUUUAUCUGCCUGGGGCUGGAGAGAUGGCUCAACAAUUAUAAGAGCACCAACUGCUCUUCCAGAGGUUCUGAGUUCAAUUCCCAGCAACCACAUGGUGGCUCACAACCAUCUGUAAUGGGAUCUGAUGUCCUCUUCUGAUGUUUGUAAAGAUAGCUACAGUGUAUUCAUAUACAUAAAAUAAAUAAAUCUAAAAAACAAACAAACAAAAACCAUAUUAGUCCUUGUUUCUUCCUAAAAG